rnacentral:rRNA from 1 species
UACGUAGGGUGCGAGCGUUGUCCGGAAUUAUUGGGCGUAAAGAGCUCGUAGGCGGUUUGUUGCGUCGGCUGUGAAAUCCCGAGGCUCAACCUCGGGUCUGCAGUCGAUACGAGCAAACUAGAGUGUUGCAGGGGAGACUGGAAUUCCUGGUGUAGCGGUGAAAUGCGCAGAUAUCAGGAGGAACACCGGUGGCGAAGGCGGGUCUCUGGGCCGAUACUGACGUGAGGAGCGAAAGCGUGGGGAGCGAACAGG